rnacentral:ribozyme from 1 species
CUGGAUAAAAACAAUUCGUAGGAUGGAUGAGAACAUGAGAGAUCCUGAAAAAAAAAAAAAAAAAAAAAAAAAAACUUCUUCUUCUUCUGCUUUUCGAACACUACUCGAUUCCUACUUUUGUACUCCCUUUGUUUCACAUUCUUUUGCCUGGUUCAUCGGACAAGCAUAGAGCUCUCUUGAACUGCCUCAUCUUUGCCAAAGCAUCAGUAAAAAAAGAAAUACAGCUUCAUCUUGCUCUGUUCUG